GCGGGCUUAGCUCAGUUGGAUAGAGCGCUGGUGAGAGCCGGGUCAGGCAUGGGUUCAAAUCCCAUACUCGCC
rnacentral:tRNA from 1 species